AGAAUCAACGCUGGCGGCGUGCCUAACACAUGCAAGUCGAACGAGAAAGUGGAGCAAUCCAUGAGUACAGUGGCGUACGGGUGAGUAACACGUGACUAACCUACCCUCGAGUGGGGAAUAACCUCGGGAAACCGGGGCUAACACCGCAUAACAUCUACGGAUCAAAUGCGUAAGCAGCUUGAGGAGGGGGUCGCGGCUGAUUAGCUAGUUGGCGGGGUAAUGGCCCACCAAGGCAGUGAUCAGUA
rnacentral:rRNA from 1 species